rnacentral:rRNA from 1 species
UACGUAGGUGGCGAGCGUUGUCCGGAAUUACUGGGCGUAAAGAGCACGUAGGCGGGACUACAGGUCAGGUGUGAAAGACCGCGGCUCAACCGACGGCCUGCUUCUAAAACUGCCGGGCUUGAGUGCAGGAGAGGAGAGUGGAAUUCCCAGUGUAGCGGUGAAAUGCGUAGAUAUUGGGAGGAACACCAGUGGCGAAGGCGACUUUCUGGACUGUAACUGACGCUGAGGCGCGAAAGCGUGGGGAGCAAACAGG